rnacentral:rRNA from 1 species
AGGGAAUCUUCCGCAAUGGACGAAAGUCUGACGGAGCAACGCCGCGUGAACGAUGAAGGUUUUCGGAUCGUAAAGUUCUGUUGUUAGGGAAGAACAAACUUCGUUUGAAUAAGGCGGAGUCAUGACGGUACCUAACGAGAAAGCCACGGCUAACUAC